AAUACGUGUUGUUAUAGAUGAGAUAAAUUUUUUCAUUAAAUUAUAUUUUCAACAAGCCGUAAUAACAUGCAUAUACCAUAAUAAUUUUAAAAAUUAGUAGAAGCGGGACUUAAACCCUAAAUUUUAUACCAUGUGUAACUAUCUCCACCAAAAACUCGAGUCAUUAGAGAAAUAAAACAACGUUUGAUAAUUAAUUAUAAAGCUCGAUCUCAUAAAUAUUGAGCUAAACACCCCCAUGAUCAUGUUCGUUUGACCUAAAACAAAAAAUUUUGGAAAACUGAAAGCAGCUGAUAUUAGUACGAAGAAAAAGGGAUACUUAUCUUCCAUAUUGUUGGGGAAAAAAUAGCCAAAACGCACAAAAUUAUUAAAAAAACACAGCUAUGUUAAGCAUAACAAGCACCAGGCAAAACUCCAUUAUCAUCUGCAAAAAUAUGAAAUUUGCAAAUUAGUUAAGAAGAGACAAUUAUAUGAAGGCAAUAGGUAUCCUAAAGAAGUCUUAAAAAAUUAAGAGUGCCAUGGCAAAGUUACUAAUCAUCUCUUUCACCAUUUGAGAUGUUAAUUUACUCACUAAAAACAUCACGGCUUCGUGCAUGUUCGUUUCAGGUUAUUCACUGNNNNNNNNNNNNNACCAAGUUUACCGGCAAGUCAUCCUUGGCUGCAAUUCGUAACCUCGUUGCCUCAUGCAAGACUUGAGAUGAUAGAAAAUCGUUUAAAAAUAUCAAAAUUAUUCCCCUUUUGCAGUUAUCAAAAAUCAACCAAUCCAAGAGAUGCAAAUGAUUGCUGGGUGUUUACUAAAGGAGAAAGAUCACAUUCCCUAUUGCAUUUACCAAAACAUUUGGUAGAUUUUCUUGCAAAAAACAAGAAUUCAAUCAAGAAAAGGAGCAGCCUAUUGGGCUGGGAAAACUUGUUGACAGUGUAUAAACGAAUGAGGGUUUGAAG
rnacentral:lncRNA from 1 species